UUUUUUUUUUUUUUUUUUGUUACAAAAGAGAGAGGUGCAUCCUCUUAAACGUUUACCCCUAAGAUGUCCGCUCCAAGAAUUUCCUCAAGUUCAGUUGGAGGCUCUCUAAAGAUCUGCAUGCAAUCCUGGUUCUCUGCAGAUGCUGCCAUUGGCAGACCAGUCAGCACUUUGAUCCAUUUUAUCAAUGCAUUUGUAACUGAAACUAGAGUUCUAUCUACAACAAGUUGUUUACUAAUUUCUCUCACUAGAGAGAAGUUGAUGAACCAACUGCUCCUUAGUCUUGACUCUUCAGGGCCAUGUACAGAGGUCAUUGUUUCUCCUUGUCAACUCUGCGGAUAUAAAGCAAAAUGCUGUUGAUUUACACAGAAAAGCACCAAACUGAUCUUUCCUGUACUCAAAGGAACACAAAAAGAUCAUACAAGAUGCACUGACAUAGGGCUUCGGAAAAGAGGAAGAUUCUGUUUAUGUAUUUGACAAGAUGAUAGAUCGAUAGGAUACAGCCAAGCACCAAAGCUGAAAGCACUUGCAUGAGUUCCACUCGAUAUACAUUAUUGAUUAUUCACAACAACCACGAUUUGCUUCGCAAAGAUUGCACGAGUAUACUAGACAAAACCAAAGCACAAACCUUGAAAAGGGCAAUUCCAGAUGAUAUACAUUAUCCACGGGUCACUGCUACCAGCUGCUUCCCAAUGUUGCGCCCUGAGAAUAGCCGUAUCAGAGCACUUGGGCCAUUCUCGAGGCCUUCAGCUAUAUCUUCCACAUAACUAAUCUUCCCUUCUUUAAUCUGUGGGAUAAUCAUUUCCAGGAACUUAGGAUAGAGAUGGUAGUAAUCAAACACUAGAAAUCCUUCCAUUCGAAUUCGCUUGGUGAGUAGGCAAAGCAGAUUGUGAAUUCCUUCCGGAUGCUCAAGGUUAUAUUGCGAAAUCAUGCCACAGGCAGCAAUGCGGCUGUGGACGGUCAUGUUUAGAAGCACGGCAUCAAGCAUCUUUCCACCUACAUUCUCGAAGUAAAUAUCAAUACCAUCUGGAAAAUACCUGCAAAAUCAACAUUCGAGUCAGAAGCCUAUUCUAGCUGUAGAAAAUACCAAUAUAAUUGCAGAACACCUUGAUGUCAUGCACAGAAAGUAGUUUGAAUGACACAAAGAAACAAGAAACUAUAAAUGCCAACUUUGAGAUGAAAUCAAUCUGAGAAUCUGAAAAAUCCAUUUUGAGCUAGAAAUACUGCUCAGUGGCACAUCAACAUGAACUAUACUGCUCCACAGCCGCAUUUAAAUCCUGCCAGAUUAAUUCCUCAUUAAUCCCACUAUUAUUGAAAGCUGACCUUUCCAGAGCCACAUUUAAAUCUGCCUCUUCUUUAUAGUUGAAAGCUUCGUCAAACCCCAACUUGUUCUUCAAUAAAUCAACCUUAACAACAAAAAACAAAUGUCAAUAGCAGCAAAAACAAGCAAAGUGAGUUAGUUGAUCUUUUAGGCUUUUGGAUCCACAUAUCAGAAUCACCAGAACACUUUUCUGUGAGAAACAGUAAUUAUACCAAAUACCUGAAGCAGGUCACUAGGUACAUGGGGCAGUAAAAAAUUUGAAUCUGAAACAUAUUGUGAACUGCAAAGCUAAGGAAUGUCCUAAACAUAGUUCACAUUCCAAUUCGGUUUCUAGAAGCAUCUUCAGGAUAACAAGUAGUUCCAGGACAUACAUAGGUUUAUCUAGCUUCCACUUCAACAGGCCUGGCACGAUGUUUGAGAAUUCUUAGCCAAGGAAAAAUGCAAUUCGUCCACAUAGAUACUCAAAAACUCAUCACUUGGCUAUGGGAUUCCAACUUUAGCUCAUAUCAAUCACACUAAAUAUUGAACAUGAAAGAAUUUUGAAUGUUUGGAUGGACAGACAUUUUAGCAGAACUACGACAAGCUUGGCUAUCAUCUAAAUGCAGAGUUAUGACAAGCAGGGUAUUAUCAGCUCAAACAGUUUCUCACCCCAACCUGGAAUUAGGAGAAACUUAUGGAGUGGACUUCUCAAUGCACUGACCUUCUCUUUGCUUCCAGCACUUCCAACAACAUAGCAGCCAAAUAGCUUUGCAAAUUGCCCAACAAGUUGGCCAACUGCUCCAGAAGCUGCUGAAAUAAAGACACGUUCUCCCUUCUUCGGAGAGCACACCUCAAAAAAACCAGCAUAAGCAGUCAUGCCAGGCAUACCUGUUAGCAACUCAAAGCCAAUUAGAGAACCGAUGGAGAUAAUAAGUGGGCCCAUGCAGGGAGGCCGGUUGAAACUAUCACUUUGCAAGUAAUUAAAGGACAAGAUUUUGCACAAUAAAUCACAUAAAUAUUUCUUCCAGUACGAUAAAAAUUUCUUCAAUAUAGCAGAUUGAGACAUUACAAAUAACGUAGUUCAAGAAGCUGCAAUUACUGUAUACCUGAAUGAUCAGUUAGUGGAACGUCAUUUAGGGAAAUUCGUGAUGAGAGCAAGAGACUAAAUGAAAAAAUGACUAGAAGAUUGGAUUACUAGCUCAAGGUGUUUAUGCCUGAGCAUCUGCUGUAGGCAGAACUAAUAAAUUACAGGACCCCUUUCUUUUUAAAGACCAUAAGAUUUCACUAUCACGAAUUGAAAAUGGCAGGGACUGUGGAGGAUAGAAAGGGAAUGAGAGUCUAUCUGACCUUUAAUGUUCAUCAUUAUUCUUCACGAUAAACUAUUGCUGGAAAAAGGAAGAAUGCUCCUCUUUUAAACAUGUUAACCUGCUGCAUAAUAUUUCAAUUAUGCUCUCUCUCUCUCUCCUCCCCCCUUUACGACAGGUAAAGCUUGUUAUGGUUUACAGGAAAUCAUUAUGUAAAAAGGGAUAAUAUCAGAAACCUCCCCAGAGGUUUGUCUUAAUAUCACCUAUCACCCCUAAGGUUUUAAAAAUAUCACUUACCUCCCUUACUUUUGUUAUUUGUUUAACAAAAUUUUUAAAAACCCUAAACUACUCUUUCACUUGCUAAAUAAAAAUUUUCCUAAACCACUUUGUUUCACUUGAAGAAAACCAUCACCUCAAAAACAAUCUUUUGUAGUAUUACCACAUCAUAAUGCUAUAGCUCAUAAAAAUAUAAAUUUGAAAAAUAAAAAAGAAAUUUGAAAAGAAAUACACUUGCAUCAAUUUAACUCUAUAUGUUCAAAACUGAUUUCUUAUGAAUUUAUAUAUUUUUUCCAACAUCUUCUCAACCCUUGCUCAAACCAUUAAACUGUACCAAUCAUUAUAAAAAUCAACUCAAAAUAAGCAAUCUUUUGUAGUAUUACCACAUCAUAAUGCUAUAGCUCAUAAAAAUAUAAAUUUGAAAAAUAAAAAAGAAAUUUGAAAAGAAAUACACUUGCAUCAAUUUAACUCUAUAUGUUCAAAACUGAUUUCUUAUGAAUUUAUAUUUUUUUUCCAACAUCUUCUCAACCCUUGCUCAAACCAUUAAACUGUACCAAUCAUUAUAAAAAUCAACUCAAAAUAAGCAAAUAAAUCAUACCCUACUUCAUCAUAAUCACAAAAGGUAAAAGACAAACAAAAUUCAAUUUAUUAUAAUUUACAAAUAAAAUAUUGCAUAGUCAUCCAAAAAAUGAGUUAGAGAGAAUGAUGGAAAAAAGGGAAAAAAGAAGAAAGUGACAUUCGUUUCUUUUUCUUUUUUUUUUGAGCUCCAUUCAUUUGAUAUGUUGUGAAUUAUGUGUCAAGUGAGGGUGAAUAUAGUCUUUUUACAAUUACUAGGGGGAGGUAAGUGAUAUUUCUAAAAACCUGAGGAGUGCCAAGUGAUAUUAAGAGAAACCUCAAGGGAGGUUUCUAAUAUUAUCCCUUAUUUAAAAAUACCAAAUUACACUUGAACACAAACUUCCAUUGGAGAGCUACUAUUUAUGUCGAUGCUUGGAUAUCUGGGUGGAUUCUCUGAAAUUGCAUCAUAAUUAAGACAACACAGGGAAGCAAAAUAUUAGUUUAUUUCAUCAUUAUUGACCAAUCAAAGAAACACACUCUCACUAUUGAAAAAAUGAAAUGUUUGUGAGAAACUUACCCAGGAUGCCUGUAUAGUAGGACAAAGGCACAUCUGUGUGCUGAAUCUUAAAGAGACCCUCUGUGGAAGUGAUAAUGCUGUACUCUUCCCAUGUAGUGAUUCCCCACACCAGAUCACCUUUCUUAAAAUUUGGAUGACUAGAAUCCAAAACUUCAGCAACUCCAUAUCCCACUAUAGGCUACAACGAAAGCAAUGGCAAGAAGUUAUGAUCUUGACUUACCUUUGUCCUCUCUCAAUUGAAUCAUUAACCACUGUUGACAGUACCUAUCAUGCUGAUAAUAUAUUCUUGCAAUCAGUUAAAUAAGUCUUACAAGAGGACCUUUCUACUGGAUAUAACAGAUUACAAUCAACUUCAACCAUAGUCAGUUAGGCAUACCAUAAAAAAUGUAACUUGGAGCACCCAUAUUAGACAACUUUCAAUUGCCGAUCUUCACACAGGUAUCCAGUUAAUAUGGACCACUAAAAAUGCCAAAAAUAAAUAAUAUAUGCACAAGCAUUAUGUGCUUGCAAGAUCACAAAAUGGAAAGCCAUUGAUGGAAAGAGCUCCUGAAAGAAUCUCAAUCACUAAACUGCAACCUGGAUUACCAACCACAACCUGCUAUUAGAGUCACCUGUAACCUAGAGGUGAUUAUGCACUACCAAUCCGAAGUUAUGAUGUUAUAUCAUAUCUGAUAACUUAAGAAGCUCUAAAAAACACGUGUUAUCCUUUUCUGAAACAUUUACAUGAUGUGAAGCUAAUUAUAAGCAAGUUUUUUCUCCAAACUGUAAAUUGAAUCUUUAAGUAUUUUGCCGCAUCAUUUCACACAUGAUGACCUUAAAGACUCAAUCCAGUUUUUUGAUGGUUCUUAAAACAAAAGCAUAUGCAAACCACUGCCUCUUGAUUUCACGUUGCUGUAAUUGUUCAUUCCUUAAAUUCAACAUUGGCCAAGUUCAAUGAAUAACAACAGGCUCUCAAUAAUGGUCUUCGGAAAUGAAACAGACUUACAGAGCCUCAAAUAAAGGACUCAACAUAGCUUCCCUCGAGUUUCAGCAUACAAUUUCUCAUGUGAGGAUCACAGGACAAAUACAGAUUCUUCACUAGCAAAAAUUAUCAGAAUCUUCUGGGAGCUUCAGCCUUAUGGAACAAGGUGCAAAAAUCAUAUCGGUUGUUGGUGCAAUAUUUACAGCUUAUGGGCAGAUAGAACUUUUCGGCAGCAUUCAUUAGAGCCCGAUCAAUAAUCGGCAUAAUGGCGAUAUUCACACACCUGUUGGCAUCCACAAACAUAUGCAGAUACAUGCAGAUAUAAAAAGGAGAAAGGAACCAGAUUAUGCUAACCAAUUUAUCAGAAAUCAUGCAUCAGAUCAUGGUCGUAAAAAUCAGGGACGUGGGAGUUAUAAAUUCCUAGAGGUAAGGAAGUGGGUGAUUCCUGCUACCCACGUUUCAGCUGAUAUGGCUGGCAUGGUAGGAGGUUAUCUAAGAGGUGGACCACUAAAUCAGCAAUAAACCAUGAGCUCAGGGAGUGGAACACCAAACCAGCCAUGAUUCCAUAAGACGUGGAAAUGGCUCUAUCAGCAACAUCUACCACCACAAAUCAAGAAGCAAACUAUAAAUACUUGGAGAUUACAUCAGAACAUUUACGAACUCUCAACAUGACAAACAACUCAAAGAAAUUCUCUAAAAAAUAGUAGUUUUCAUGGGAAAAUGCUCUCAAUUUAGAAACGUUCAUAGAUUCUUUAGGCUAGCUUUAGGAUUUCCCAAGCUUUCUUGCAAUCAUUUCCCUUUCGUUUAACCUUUCCAUUUCAUGUUUCCAAGCAGUUUUUAUAUUUCAAGCAAUCUUUAUGUUUCCAAUCAAUUGUUGAAUUUCCAGUGUUUCAAACUUUAAUUCCUUUAUCAGUUUAUAAAUUAGUUUUCUUUCCCAUUGCUUUCUUUAUCAGUCACUUGUCAUGAAUUUCAAGCCCUUGAGGCUACUGAUGGCAGAUGGACAACAGUGGUCUACAAGUCAGAGGGCACAUCCUCUCGCUUACAGAUAUCAGCUCAUUUUUCAUCAUUUACCUGAUCAAAUCAGGUGGCAUGCUUGCAACAACUACAACAUCGACGUCAGUUCGUCAGCUGCCAAAAAUCAACGCAAACAGGGCUCUUUGGGAAGACCAUUUACAUACUUUUUCAUUAUCACCUGGGCGUUACUCACGUCCUCUGCCUCUACCAUUUUCAAGAAACUCACUAAUUAUUAGAUAAAAAUGAUCUUCUCUAGCUUUCAGUCUAAAGCAAGCUCUUCAUUUCUGCUUAUUUUCACUUUCAAGUGAUUACCUACCCAAAACAACUCCUUUUAUUCCGUAAUCUCAUUCUAGGAUAGUGGUGCAAAGCAACAGAAGUUUUGAACAGAGUAUCUUUAACAUAAGAUCCCUACAACACGGAAUAAUCUUAAGCCGACAACUCAUUCACCUAGAUUAAUUUCAACAUGAUUUUUUAGUAAAAUACCAACCUGCAUGUAUAUCACUUUUCUGGACCUCGAAAAUUGCUUUUAUUUGUAGUCCAUUGGUUUCUAUUAUUCUUGUUUUUCAUGACCUUCUCAAUACUUCCCUUGUUUGCUUUUGAACAAAGUCUUGGAGGAUGGAAUUGGAAGGUCACUGGCCCAAAAAGGGCAAUCAAACAAAAGAACAAUAAGAUAGUCAUCCAAAAGUACUCACAGCAACCUCCCAAAAAAAUUUCACAAUUAAUAUUAAAAAAAAUUAUCCAAAUCUAUAUACUUAUACUUACAGAGCCAGGAUUGAAGGACUCCAAGUUGACGCCUUCGAUCUUGCCUUCCAUCUUGCUCAUGCCGUUUGUCACGUAAGUGUAAGGUUCACAAGACAAGUAGAGAUUUUUCACCAAAAUUGCGCCCGAAGAACCUCCCGGAAGCUUCAGCUUCGUUCUGGCGGUCCUGAUUUCCAUAUCGCUCUCCUUCGGAGAACCCCUGACGCAGUGGUUCAGUAUCACCUGCUUGUUCUCCACUUCCUCCCGUUCCGCCAUUUUUCCUCUCAAAGCUGCUCUCAACUGAGCUGAAAAUGGCGCGAAGUAGCAACUAGCAAUGCACACGUAUCCUGUAUUGUUACUUCCACCAGUUCCUUAAUCUUCUCCGUACUAAAUAAGGAGAAAUCCCUAAUUUUAAGAUAUGCGGGGUUUUGUGUCAAAAAAAAAAAAAAAAGAUAUGCGGGGUUUGAAACCUUUUAGUUUUUGAAUAUUAAUAAAUUCAUGCUCAUACAUUUCUGUUUUUUUUUUCUUUAUAUAUUCAAAUAAACCGUUUUUGUUUUUCUUUUGAGUGUGGGUUUUGCUUUUUAUUUUGCAAAAUUAUGAAAAAUGAAUUUUUAAGUUAUUAUCCAUUGAUCUUGAAUUUCCAAAUAUUACCUGAUCUCAUAAUUGGAUUAGUGCUUAUUAUAAAUCCUACUCCUCCCGUUUCACUAAAAGUGUCAUACUUUCUAUUUUAGGAUAUUUCAAAACAUUUGUCAUAUUAAAAAAAUCAAAGCACAUUUUAGUCUUUCUUUCUAAUAUAGCCCUUCUUUUUAAUCAUAAACAUGUUACCAUUCAAAUUUAAAUUUUGAAUUUGUGAGAGUAAAAUUGGAAAGAAAACACAAACAUCAACCACUAUUCUUAAAAAGUUGGAUUUUCAAAACAUAACUACAUAAUUGGGACGAAAAGAGUAUUUAAAUUCAACCACUUCCCUUUUUUCUUUCCUAACAAACGUUAACAGCUUUUAUGUAUCAAACUCGAUACUACAAUUACAAAAAAAAAGGGGCCACUACCCUCAUCUCCCUUCUUGCUAUUUCUAAUAGCCAUAUUGGGACAUCACAUUCCUAUUCUAUGUCCUGGACUAGUUUUACUGCAAACUGAGCUAGUUCAUGACUGCGUCUGUUUUACGCUCUAUUUGCAAAAGAAAAGCUACAGCAUUGAAACCACUGGCUUAAAUCCUGAAUAUCCUCUAAGAUAAUUUCAAUGUUGUAGUUAUUUACAUUGCAUGUGUUGAUUUGAUCCGCCACUGAUUUGAAGUCUGUGUAGACCUCUAUUUUGGUCCACCCUGCAUCUUUGGCCAUUACUAAGGCAUUUGUUAUAGCUAAUGCAUCCACCAUGCUGGCUUCACUCAUUCUCUGAUGUACUAUCCCUUUUGUCUUCACAAUUUUUCCUAUCGAAUAUUUUGCUUUUAUUCCUUACCCAGUUCUUACCAUUCUUGCCGAUAUUGCUGCAUCAGUAUGCAACCUAAUCACUCCUUCCAUUAGUGGCUCUCUCUUGAUCUAUUUUUGUUGUUGCACAACAGCAUUGACUAGUUCUUCACUUUCAGUUUCCUUCGCCUGUUCAUAUUCCAUCCAAUCUUCUUAUGCCUUUUGCACAAUCUUGUUUGGGUCUGGAUUGAUUUUCUCAAAACACUUUUUUGUUCCGAACUUUCCAGAUUUGCCACAAUAUAUUGAUAGUAAUGUUGAUCCUGUCUUGACCAUGGUCCAUUGAGCUUGCUUACAUUGCCAUUUCCCACCAUUUCCACAAGUUGUGAUGUACUUUUAGCCCCUCCCAUUUGAUUGGAGGCAGUUUUAAGACCAACUUAGCAUUUGCACAAAAAAAGAACAUAUGCUCUAUAGCUUCAAAUUCUUCCCUACAACAAUCACAUCUUCCAUCCCUCUUUCCUAGACUUCUAAAAAUCAUAUCAUUAACCGGGAUACAGUUUUGCAGACAUUUCCACAUAAAGUGCUUCAAUUUUGCCUUUAUGUUUAGUCCCCAUAGCCUUUUCCAAACACAGUGUUUCCUAAUCUCCCAACUAGUUUCAGCAUUGAUCCCCUCCUUUUUCCUAUGCUAGUUAUCCUCUUUUUUAGCCACUUCAUUUCCAGAUUUUACAGUAUACACACUAGUUUUGGAAGAACUCAAAAAUGAUCUGUCCAUCUUUCUAUGCAGGCUAAGAGGGAUAUUUUCUAUUAGUUCUGCCUCAUUUUUACUGAAUAGUUGUUGUAGGGUCUCCUUUUUCCAUCUGCCUUCUUCUAUCAAAUCACUUACAUUUUCCAAAUGACAGUUUGUAGGUCUUCUUGUGGUCACUAUGCCCUUUUCUGAGCCUAUUAACCACUUAUUCUUCCAAAUGUUCACACUUGGUCCAUCACCAAUUCUUUUCCAUAACCCUCGAGCAAUAGCUUCCUUGCACUGUGGAUACUUUUCUAGCACUAUGAUCCUGAUUUUGGGGGUUCCUUCUCUAGCCACCUUGGAUCUUUCAUGUAUUUAGCUUUUUAUCACCUUGCGUACUAGCAAAUUUGGAGAUGUUGGGAAUCUCCAAAUUUGCUUUGCAAGCAAGGCUGUGUUGAAAGCCACUAGAUCUCUAAAUCUCAAUCUCCUUUUUCAUUUACUUCAGAAAGUUUCUUCCAGAUUGCCCAGUGUACAGUGUUUUCCUUUUCUCCACUACCUACCAAAAUCUAGCAAUUCUUGCUAUGAUCUAUUUGUAUAGUCCUUUGGGAAGACUAAAACAAGCCCUAGCAUAAUUUGGCAUAGCCAUUAUGACUGAUUUGAUAAGGACUUCUUUACCUGCUUGACUUAGCCGCCACUGUUUCCACUCCUGCAUUUUGUUAAUGAUUCUACACUUUAUGUAACCAAACACUUGCUUCUUUGAUCUUCCAAUGGGCAUAGUCAAGCAUGUUCCUUUUGUUGCUUCUCUCAUCCUAUCCAAGGCCUCACUUGUCUCCUGUUUUGUUUGAUCUACAGUGUUUUUGCUGUAAUAUAUAGCAGGCUUUUCAAAAUUUACCACUUGACUAGAAGCUUUGUCAUACUGUGUGAGGACUUCUUUUAAUUUUUCUGCCUCUUGUCUACUGGCUUUGCAACAAAGUAGUGAGUCAUCUACAAAAAAUAAGUAAGAAAUAGUAGGUCCAUUUUUACUGUAUAGUCCUUCAGCAUAGACGAUGAAGAUGUAAGGUGAUAAGGGGUCCCCUUGGUGGACUCCCUUGAUUGGUCUAAUGUUUCCUACUUUUUGGCCAUUUAGAUUGAAGGAGUAAGAGAUAGUUGACAAGUAGAUCAUGAUCCAUUUAACAAACAUAGGAUAGAAACCCAUUUGAGUCAUCGCGCUCCCCAAAACCUUCCAUUCUACUCUAUCAUAGGUUUUAGACAUGUCAAGUUUGAUAGCCAUGAAUCUUUGUUUGCCUUUCCUUUUUUUUCCAAGAAGUGAAACAUUUCAUAGGCUAUGACAACAUUGUCUAGGAGUUGUCUUCUUGGGAUGAAAGCUGAUUGGGUACUGCUAAUGCAGUGAUUCAGGACCUUUUUAAGCCUAUUAGCCAGUAUUUUGGAAAUGAUCUUAUAUAGGACAUUACACAAACUAAUAGAACUAUAAUUAACCACACUUACUGGGGCAUCAGCUUUUGGGAUUGAAGAGAUGAUAGUUUUAUUCAUUGUUUUGAGAAGAAAACCAUAAUGGAAGAAACUAUUUAUGGUAGAGACAAUGUCAUUGUUAAUUAUAUGCCAGUAAUGCUGGUAAAGCAGUGGUAACAUAUCAUCAGUGCAUGGGGCCUUAUUAGGGUGCAUGGAGAAAAGGACUUGUCUGAUUUCUUUCUCUUCAACUGGUUUGAUCAAUUGCUCAUUCAUUUGACCAGUAAUAGUGUGAGUCACUUCUACUAAUAUUUCCCCAAAAUUGUCAGGAUUAGUUGUAGUGAACAAGUCCCUAUAGUAGUCACUCAUCUCCUUCUCAAUGUCCUGCUCAUUGGUGUACCAGGUUCCAUCAUGUUUCUAUAAGGUGUUGAUCAUGUUUCUUUUCCUUUCUGUUAUUACAGUUGUGGAAGAAUGCUAUAUUUCUAUCAUUUUCUUUCAGCCAUUGUCACUUGAUUUUUGGCUCUAAUACAGUUCUUCAUCCUUGUAUGCUUUGCUGAGUUUUGUUUUCAGUUCAACAGUCUUGCAUCUCUUGUGUGGUUCAUUUCUUGCUUUGACCACUGCUAGUGGUUCCUUUAGAUCCUGUUUUCUUACCUUUGAGUUCCUUUCCUCCUUCUUAUUCUACUCUAGCAUAGCAAUCUUGCAUUCCUUUACUUUCUUAGUCACUUAUACAUUCUUGAUCUUGCUUGCUCUUUUUCCCAUGCCCUUUUAACCACUUUUUUUUGUCUUAGGAUUUUUGGUCCAUUUCUAAUCAAAGUAGAAUCUUUUUUUGUUCCUACCUUUUGAAGGAUUAGUGUCCAACAUCAACAGGUAGUGGUCUAAGGCCUUCUUUUCCAUAUGUGUACAGGUGGGCUUUCCAAAUCUUUAUAUCUAACUAGUAUUACUGAGACACCUAUCCAACCUCUCCUUUGUGAGAACCCUGAAAAUAGACAUAUAAAUAUCAGUGCAUAUUUUAUUUGCAUUUUAAUUCCUUAAUAAAUUUUAGCACUAAGUCCAAUUGUUUUUAAAUAAGUAUGUAGAAUUAAAUGUUAAGUGCAAAAUAAAAGAAUUGUGCUAAACUACUAAACUUCUUGGUUUUGUUACAUUAACUUCAUAUUUCGAUGGUAAACUAUUUCAUUGAUCUAAUCAUUAAUUUCUUCGAAUUCUAGAAUGGUAAUUAAUUAUUUUGAAAUAAAAGUGUAGAGAUAAUUUUUAAGUAAUAAAUAAUAUAAUUGUGCCAAUAUUGAAUUAUUCGGUUUUGCUAUAUUAAAUUAAUAUUUCUUGAGUUAGAUUUAAUUUGUUUUCGCCUUAAUAUAAAAUGUUAGAAUACUUAAUUCCUUUAUGCUAAAUUAAUGGUACUUGAGUCGAUAUAUUUUUGAGGAAACGUUACAAGUACUAAGUAUUCUUAGGAUGUGAACAAUUUCUAGGAUUAAUUUUCGCAAGGAUAAUAUAUAAUUAGGCGUUUAAAAUCACACUUGGGGAUAAUUUUUAGAAUUAAGUUGAGAUUGGGGAGCAAAGUGAAAAGACUAAACUACCCUUGAACAAUUCCUCAAUCUAUCAUGCAACUCAAACCAGAUUUCGGACAGAAACCAGAGGCCACCUCCUUGUUCGGCCAAUGCAAACUUUCACCACCUACACACUCAACAUCCUGCACACUCAACCUCCCUCAAAACCGCAGCACCACUCCACAAUUCCAUUCCAUAUCCUCUGCACACUUCCUACCCAGAUAACACUCUACUUUCACCUUGUUAUCAUCGCCAGAGUUAGAGAGGGAGAGACCGAGCUUCACUCUGCCAUCCGAGAGGGGGGAAAAAAAAGGGAAGUCGCACGAGCUGCAACUCUUCCAAGGUUCUGUUUGCAAGCCAGAGUGGAACUAGGAAGAAGCCGUGAGCAAGCUCCAUCCCUAUCCGCGUCAACAACCAGCUGCAACCCAGCUUCACCCUCCACCAGUCGCAACCAGAAAACCAGAACCAACAAACCUGUGCGUGAGCCGAGAGAAAAUAUCAUAGCUUACUUAUUCGUGAGCUGAGCUAUUCUGAGGUAAUUUUCUGGACUAUUUUGGGUUGAUCAGAGGUAGAUUCUAGUUUUAGAUUAGCCUUCUAGAGGUUGAUGAUGGUGUUUAAGUACUUGCAUGUGGGAUUUGUAUGUUCGGAUGUUGAAAUCUGUCUUGGUAGCAUCUGGUUCUGCCGAGAGUAGAUUAGGAGUUGCAGUUUUAAUUCUUGUUUCCCUGACAUCAUCUGAGCAUGAAUCGGUGAUUAGCUAACAAAAACUGAGUGGAUUAAGCUAGUUAUAGCUUUGCAUGUGAGUUUAGGCGGCCAGAUUUGUAAUUAAGAAAAGAAGAAAAUUUCUGUGCGCUAGUUAUGUUUCUGCCGAGAGCUUGAGCUGGAAAUUUUGGUUUUAAUUUGCUGGGUGUGAUGAUUUGAGCUUAAUCUUGGAUCAACCUGAUAGAUAAGCUCCUUACUUAGUAUUGCAUGUGAACUUUAUGGCUAGGAAUUUCGGUUGCAUGACUGGAAAACUUAUUAGAAAAUUUCUGGACUGCUGAACUAAUUUUUCCAGAUUAGCCGUUGAAGUUGUUUUGGAAAUUGCUUGGGUAUUUUAGCAUGAAUUUUGCUGGAACGUGUUUGAUUUCCACUUAGUUAGGUGUUUGACUAAUUAAAAUUAAAUGAUUAAGCCUUGCAUGAGGUGUUUUGGUCUGGCUAAGCUAGAAACAAAAAAAUAAACAAGAAAAUCUGCUGUAUGCAAGAUUAUCCAAGAAUAGCCGAAUGAAUUCCUGGAUUUUUGGGAUGUUUGUAGUUGUUAAUUGAAUCUGAUUUUGAACGAGAGAUGUUAAUUACCUAGCUAAGUGUUGGCAUGUUGAAUUUGAGUAACUAAUACCCUGUUUUGGCCAAGGAAAAGCUGGAGUUAAGAACAUACAAUUGCUAGAAAUUUUUUUUGUGAACUGCCGUGAAUUCGAACCAGGAAAUUUUGAAGAGUGUAGCUAUUGUUUGGAUUUAACUUCGAACUGGAAGCAAUUUGUAGCUAACUAAGUGUUUAGCUAUGAAACAGUUGAGAUUUUGGAAGUUUGAAUUGAAUUAAUGAAGUGUAGCUGUUGGGAAACUUUCGGUCAAAAUGAUGGAAGUAGUAAAGGAAAUUCUUUCCAGAUUUCUUUUGGCGAAUUUUAGUUCUAAAACUUCUGUUUUGAGCUAUAAACUAUUUCAUGCUUAUUGACCUCACUCUCGAGCAUGUCAAAAGGGCCGUGCAUGUGAAUUUUUGGGUGACCAUUUGAUGUUAAUCAUGGCUACAAGGAUGAGAUGAAUUUAUCGGCAAUUGAAGGAAUAAAUUUUGAAUUAUAACCAUUGUGAAUUACUUAAUCCGCAUUGGUGUAUGUGUUAUGAGAAAUAAUUGUUGAAUGCUAAGGGUUAAUGAUUGAUGAAGCCCUUGGCCAUGUGAAUGAUUUUUAUAUAAUCGUUAAAGUGAUGAAAUUUAAUUGCUGAAAUGUCUUUGAGGCCUUACCUUUAUUUUUAUGUGUAUAUGAUGAGUUUGCUGAAACCAAGUGCUAAUGAUUGAUGAAGCCUUGGUCGUUCAAUUUUAUUUUUAUCAGAAAUGCAAUUGUUGAAAUCUAGGGCUAAUGAUUGACAAAGCCCUAGUGAUUUGCUAUGUGAUUUUGCCAUAUUUGAUCCAUAAUAUGAUUUCGAAACGGAAUCGGAGCUGUGGAAGUCGCUUCUACCUUGCGAACUCGUGUAGCUGUGAGCAAAUUAAUCAAAAAUAUUUUCCAGCUAGUAUUAAAUCAUAAAACUCAAUAUCUAGUAUUUUGCCUAAAACUUUCCAACCGAUAAUUUCCUUUAGCUCAAACUAGCCUUGAUAGUUAUAGGAAAGAAUUUCUCUAGCUUUUGAAAAUCCUAAGUCUUAUUUUAAUUUCCUUUCCUUUCAUUAAGAUUUGCCCUUGGAUAGUUGUCGGUAGGAAAAGUUCCAAAAUAAGAGUUUUAAUAACUUUAAUUAAGAAUGUAGAAACUUGCUCGGCAAGAAACUUUAUUUAGAUUAAAUAGUUUUUAGUGACAAUUUUUACAAGAACCAUAGCUUAAAAGAAAUCUUUCGAAGUAUCUUUCUAGUUUUAUUAUUAAGUGGUUUGUCGAAUUAUCUCAAGAAAAUAAUACUAAUUACCUUUUAUAGGGAAAACUACAAGAAACAUUUUUACUACUUUUGCCAAGUUUCAACCUAAGUAGAUCUUUGAGUUUACUUCGAAAUGAUAAACUAGUUAUAAACUCGAUAAACCUUUAUAGUUAUAAACCUGGAACUUGAAUAGAAAUUGAAAGUGUUAUAUUUGUACUUUAAAGGUCAAACUUGAUUUUAAUAAUUUACGCAGAAAACUUGUUUGGCAAGAAACCUUAUUCAAAGCAAAUUGGUUCUGGUUUGCACCUCUAGAAAGAAAGAAAUCCUAUGAAGUAUUUCAUCACUUUCACUAGUUUAACUCUAGGGAAAUUGUUAAUUUAUUUGGUGUAGAUAAACUAGUUAUAUACCAGAUAACUUUGUAUUUAUAAACCAAGAACCGUACAACAACACUUAUAGUUUUAAAUUCUGGAUUUCUAGGGUAUAGCGAGGACGUGGAUUUGUGAAUCCCAGCUUGAACUCUGAACUUCACUUUUGGUGAGUGUCCCUGCUUGUUUUAUGUUAUGUGGUUAAGCGCUUUACCAAUUCGCUAUGUGAUAAUUGUCAAAAUGCAAUAAAUGAUUUUUGAUCCAUCGAAGUGAGCAGUGUGUACUUUAUCGCACUAGCCGUUCGAGUGGUGACGUGUGUGAAACAUUUUCUAAUGAAUCCGUGAAUCUAAAGGACGUAACGUCGUUGGGUGAAUCCCUCGACGAGUCAAUAAUAAUAAAUCAAGUGCUAGACGUAAAGUCGUUGGGUGAAUCCCUCGACGAGUCAAUAAUAAUGAAUCAAGUGCUAGACGUAAAGUCGUUGGGUGAAUCCCUCGACGAGUCAAUAAUAAUAAAUCAAGUGCUAGACGUAAAGUCGUUGGGUGAAUCCCUCGACGAGUCAAUAAUAAUAAAUCAAGUGCUAGACGUAAAGUCGUUGGGUGAAUCCCUCGACGAGUCAAUAAUAAUGAAUCAAGUGCUAGACGUAAAAUCAAUAAUAAUGAAUGAAGUGCUAGACGUAAAGUCGUUGGGUGAAUCUCUCGACGAGUCAAUAAUAAUAAAUCAAGUGCUAGACGUAAAGUCGUUGGGUGAAUCCCUCGACGAGUCUAUAAUAAUGAAUCAAGUGCUAGACGUAAAGUCGUUGGGUGAAUCCCUCGACGAGUCUAUAAUAAUAAAUCAAGUGCUAAUAAUAAUGUAAGUUCAGGACGUAACGUCGUUGGGUGAAUCCCUCGACCAGUCUAAGGUACACUUGGGUAUUAUCGCCUUCCUAUUUGUUUACUUCAGUCGAAUCAAUACGUGUUAAUUGUUUUAAUUGAUUGCAUGUUUUUGGGGCACCACUGAGCUUUAGCUCACCCCACGUUUAUUGUUUUCCUUAACAGGUUCUGGAAACUGAAAGCUGGAUGCUUACUUAAGUUUUCCUUUUGGAUUGUAUUUGAAUACUAUAACUUAUUCUGUGGGCUGUAAUGUGUUAUUUGAGAUAAUGCACUUUUCUUUUGGGUUGCCACUUGAAACUGGAAAAUGGGUAAACCCUAAUUCGAUUACUUGGCCUGUAAAUUUGUAAUAGAGAUUUAUGUAUUUAUCUACCCGGAUUAGUACGACUUUAUAUUUUGGUACGUAGCACGUGGGACGUUUAAGAGCCUCGACUGGCUAAUUUAUCUCUGCUAUCUCUGAAGUUAAGUUGGAUGUAAGGAUGAUCUUAUUCGGGAAGAUUUGUUUUAUCACAGAUUAAGUUCUCCUUUGAAAGGAUUUGGGUUAGAAUGCUUGCGUGAGUCCUGGCGAGAGCUGGGCAGACGGCUCGCCAACCCUUUGGUUCGCCUUAGGGGGAAGUGGGGUUGUCACAUCCUUGACCUCCCCAUCUUCUUCCCAAGAAUUACUCCAUGUCCAUGGUACUCCUUGGUAACCUAAGUAUAUGAGCUCGUUCCCUCUGAUGAAAUUGUUAAAUUCUUUUAGACUCCUUUCAGCUAUUUCCCUUCCUCCCUAUUUUUUUCCAGUUGAUCUAAUAUCAUUGAAGUCUCCCACUAGUAUCUAACUCACCCCAUUCCUUUUUUCUAUUCUUUAUGUGUUUCCAUUGCUCCUUUCUUGUACUGAUGUUAGCACUUGCAUACAGGCACACUAACCAUCAUUGGCAUUUAGCUUCCUCAUCUUCUAUCCUUGUUGAUAUUACCAAUUCGUAUCUUGCACUUGGCUUAACUUCAUGUCCUUUUUCCAAAACAAUGCCAAUCCUCUUGCUCUACCCACUAAAUUUACAAAACGUCCAUUAUCAUAUCUAAUUUGUUUUUGUAUUUUCUUCAAGAAGGUUUUCUAAUUUUUUGUUUCACACAAGAACACAAUGUUAGGAGAGUGAAGGCUUAAAACCUCCUUCAAUUGGGGAAUUGUCAAGAGGCCUUCUAUACCUCGACAAUUUCAUAUCACUACUUUCAUUCAACCAUUGGAGGCAUUUUGGAGUUGGCCUCCAGUUCCUCAUCAAAUUCUGUAUAAUUUGCCUCCCUCUUCAAUGCUUUCAAUCUUCCCUCUGCAGUAUCCUCUUCCGUUGGUUCAACUUCCUGCCAUACUGUUUCCAUUUUCCUCUUUCCCCCCAAUUCUCCUCCCUGAUUCCUGUUUGUGAUGUCCUUCAUUGGUGUUCUAUUUAUCCUUGCAAUUUUCUUGACAUACAUGUCCUUUCUCCUCCUUUCUACUGCUGUUGCAAUUUCUAUCCUUCAUUUCUUUCUAUAGUCCUUUCUACCUCACCUCCACUUCACAUAGGUCACUUGUCUAGCCACUUGUGUUCUUUUCUCCUAUAAUCAUAUCCACCACAUUUUGUUCCCCCGCCCCCUCCCCCCAAAAUUUCCUUCACUUUCUCCUAUAAGGGACCAGUAUUCUUUCUUUCAUUUUCCUCAUCCAAGUUAUUUCCUUUUUUCCUCUCCUAUCUCCAUUUUUUUCGCUAGUUUUGUUCCUGUAGUAGUUCUCUCCACUUCUCCUCAUUUGCCAUUUUUCUCGUAUACACUUGGGUAUUUUGUUUGCCAUUUCCAUUCUCUACUGCCAAUAAAUUGCCAUCACUCACUUUGGUGGACCAAGUUCCUGUAGUCACUAUUAUGGCUUUGUUUGAUUCCUUUUCCUCAGUUUUGUUUCUUGCUUUUUCUUUUGUUAAUCCAUCCCACUUUUUUACUAGUGAUGUCAUGAUGUUCCCUACCCUCAUCCAUGCUCAAUACUACACUUCUCUCUGGAUCUGCUCUUCUUUUUCUUCUUCCUUACAAGAUGUGUCCCCAUGCCCAAUCACUCCAUAGCUCUAACAAAAAUUUGGGCACCCCUUAUACUUAAACUCAAUCCACACCAUCUGAUCUUUAAGUGUCACUGUUGUUCCUCUUAUUAAAGACUGUGUUAUGUCAAUUUUCUUUAGUAUUUUCAUGUGCCUUUCUUCUUUUCCACCCCUUGUUAGUAUUAUCACAUCUCUCACAGAGUUGAAGAUCUCUCCUAGCUUAAAUCCUACAGCUCCAUUCAUCCAGUAGACUCGGAGAUUCCAUAGUUGGACCCAAAUGAAGGUAUGCUUAAAGCUAUUAGGAUCUUUUUCACAACCUUCCGACCAUUCCUUGAUGAUUAAUACCUGGUUGUCCACUAUCCAUGGACCCCCGCUAGUACGCUUCUUCUUUUCUUUUCCUUUUCUAGGUGGAACUGGAACAAAUUAGGUCCUAACUCAGUUAUCAUUAUUUUCCUAGGGUAACCCCAAGCAUGAUUUGUGAAAUUCUUGACCCUUGUGAAAUUUACCACUUUUGCCCCUAUGAUCUUUCCCACUAAGCUACCAUUGCAUCCUCGUAUACAUUCUUCCACAUCUUCCCCACUCAGAUCUAUUCCUCCUAGCUCCUUCCCAGACAGAUCAAACUUAUGGAAUGCCUAAGCUAGAGAAGUGUCUUUACUAUUUAGGUCUCAAAAUCGUUCAGUUGUUUAAACCUGCAAGAAAAUUCAAAUAGAGAAGCUUAAGAGUUAAGGCCCAAAAAAGAGACAAACUAAGAGGAAAAAAACACAGCUUAGGAAAAGAAUAUAGUUCAAAAAAGCCCCAAAGGACUAGAAGGUUUAGUUAAAGAUGACAAUAAAACAUGUUCUUGGACACAAGUUUGUUAAUGGAUCAUGCUUGGUACUGUCAUUUACUCCCGCAAUAAAUGAUUGUAAGAAAGAUAGAUCACUAAUCUAUAUAUUCAAUGUUAUUGGUGUCCAGGGUGUUUUCUUUUUGGGAUUUGGGUUCAAAAAGUUUGAGCUUUUUGAAUUUUUGGUGUUUUGAAAUCUGAAACUCCUACAACAAAGAGAGACACUCUAAAGUUAGAGAGAGAAACUCUCGUGUUAGAAAGAGGAGACCUAUAUUGCUUAAUUCAACUACUUCCCGUGCUAUCUAAAUAUGCUUAUUACUGAGCAAGUUAUUGAAUUAGUUAAUUAGCAUAUUAGCAUCUGGUAUAAAAAUAACAUUUUUCUUUGACAAAGAUUUACAAUAUUAUCUGGUCAAUUGAUAAUGAUAAAAGUAAUGCUCAUACUACAUUGUACUAUUUCAUUGAUAAUAGAGUUACAAUUUGACUAAGUUCUGUGUACUAGAUACAUAUUAACAAUAGUUGAUGUAGAAUUAGUUAUCCUGAGGCUUACUUCAAAUAUCUUAAAAAUCUAAUUCUAACUAUGAAAUAUUAAUUGGGUUGGUAUUUAGCAUUGGUUAAAUAGAUUCCUAAUAUUAGGGAUUGCACAAGUCAAUAGAUUAUAUCUUAAAAAUCUAAUUCUAACUAUGAAAUAUUAAUUGGAUUGGUAUUUAGCAUUGGUUAGAUAGAUUAGUAAUAUUAGGGAUUGCGCGAGUCAAUAGAUUAUAUAUGACAUUUAAGCGAUACUAAUGCUAAAAAGAUUAGAUAGAGUAUGUCGAAUAGAUUAAGCCAUACUAAUGCUAAAAAGAUUAUAUAUGACAUUUAAGCCAUACUAAUGCUAAAAAGAUUAGAUAGAGUGUGUUGAAUAGGUGUUUAAGAGAGAGCUAUACAAUAUUAUUUAGUUUUAUCAUUAAAGCGCACAACUGUAACAUGUGUGAGGUCAUUUUUUUUUUCCCAUUUAGUGAAAGAAAAGAAGGAUACGGACUUCGCAUUUAGCAAAUGCGAAUUUAAAGAGAUUGCAUUUUCUAAAAGCGAAGACCCUUCUACUAAGAAUAACCAAUUCAAAAAACUCCUGUUGCAAAAUUACUUUCUUUUUUAUUUUCAUAACAAUUUUAGAAUUUACUAUGAUAUUCUUCACAUGCCAUCUGUCCUGCCACCGCACCCACAAGCAUCCACCACCACCCUUUACCGCCACAUCUCCCCUCUCUCUUCUUCUCUCCAUUGCCACCACCUCUCCUUUUCUCCAACUACCACCACCGCCAUCUCUAUCACACGCCACUAGCAACCAUCCUCAUCCACUUUCUCUCUCCUCCUAUUUCUCCCAGUUUUACCACAAUCACACAACCAACCUCUCUUUCCUCCUUCCCCUCCUCCUCUCUCUUCCCCAACCCUUCCCCCUCUCUCUCAAAUCUGGUCACGAGACCAAAUCUUGGCCACCCAUGCCCCUCCCCCCACCCCAGAUCUAAGGGAGAGGGUAGGGGAUAGGGGACUACUAGGUGCCAUUUCAAGUUGCUCAAUAAUUGGUUCCUACAAAUGGCAUCAAAUGUUCAUGCUAAAAAUUGAGUAGGCUCCGAAAUGAUAAUUAAAUCCUCAUUAGUGCAGUCAAUAUACAAUAACUAAGUUCUUUGGUCUAGUUGGAGUGGUAAUAAUGAGUUUUUUCAAAUAUAUACAAGCAGGUAUCCAUGUAUCUACAAUAGAUUCAAGAUGUAAAUAGCAGGACUUGCUAUAUAUUCAAGAAGUAAAUAAUAGAAAUUUGUAUCUACUGUAAAUUCAAGAAGUAAAUAACAGGACUUUUACCCCCCCCCCCCCAGGAGACUUUUGCCCCUAACGAGUACUUUACUAUUUAUACUGGAGAAUUAAGAGGCUUUCACACCAUGAGUUCUGAUAAAUCUUAUGAUCUUGUGAAAAAUUGAAUUGAUCCAAUAUAGUUCUAGUAUACCCUAUAUUUGCAUUUGACACGUUACCUCCCUUCUAAAGCUAAAGCUAAAAAUUCCUCCCUUCUCCAUCUCAUUUUAUAAUUGAUCCAUUUUAUCAAUGCAUUUGUAACUGAGAGUAGAGUUACACACCUUACAGGAAGUUCUCUAUCCUCCCAAGUUGUUCGCAAUUUUAUCACUAGAGAGAAGUUGUUGAACCAAUUGCUCUUUUAGUCUUUAGUGCCUCAAUUGGCAAUUGAAGUAUUUUCUCAAUUCUCUCUCUGUUUCUCACGACUUUAACUGUACCUAUCUCUUAACACCCAAAAUAUUCCGGACCAUUUACAGAAGCCAUUUGUUUCUCCAUGUCAACUCUCUGGAUAUAAGGCAAAAUGCUGCAUCUAUCAUUCUUAUGCCAAAAUGCUGUUGAUUAAUAUCUCCAACACAGAAAAGCACCAACUGAUCUUUCCUGUACUCACAGAAAGAUAAUACAAGAAGCUGCUAUUGGGCUCCGGCAAACAGGGAGAUUCUAUUUGUGUAUUUGACAAGAUGCCAGUCGAUAAGACAAAGCCAAGCACAACAGCUGAAACCAUUCCAUGAGUUCCACUUGAUACACAUUAUUGAUUACUCACAGUAAACAGCUACUAUUUGCUUCCCAGCAUUGCAUGAGAUACCAAGUAUUCUAGACAAAACCAAAGCACAAACCUUGAAAAGGGCAAUUUUAGAUGAUGUACAUUAUCCACGGGUAACUGCUACCAGCUGCUUCCCAAUGUUACGCCCCGAGAAAAGCCCUAUCAAAGCACUUGGGGCGUUCUCAAGGCCUUCAGCUAUGUCUUCCACAUAAGUAAUCUUCCCUUCUUUUAUCUGUGGGAGAAUCAUUUCCAGG
rnacentral:lncRNA from 1 species